AUUGAACGCUGGCGGCAGGCCUAACACAUGCAAGUCGAGCGAGCGGCGGACGGGUGUGUAAUGUAUGGGGACUGCCCGAUAGAGGGGGAUAACUACUGGAAACGGUGGCUAAUACCGCAUACUAUCGGAUAACCCAUAUGGGAUUAGCUAGUAGGUGGGGUAAAGGCUCACCUAGGGGACGAUCUCUAGCUGGUCUGAGAGGAUGUUCAGCCACACUGGGACGGAGAAACGGCCAAGCCUCCUACGGAGGCAGCAGUGGGGAAUAUUGCACAAAGGGCGCAAGCCUGAUGCAGCCUUGCCGCGUGUAUGAAGAAGGCCUGAGGGUUGUAAAGUACUUUCAGCGGGGAGGCGUUACCCGUAGAAGAAGCACCGGCUAACUCCGUGCCAGCAGCCGCGGUAAUAC
rnacentral:rRNA from 1 species